rnacentral:ncRNA from 1 species
AGUUCUGAUGCACCCGAAUUUUGCAGGUGGAGAACGAGGAGACAAUGAGGCGCUAAGCGCCCAUACAAAAGCGCUGUUGGACUGGAUCCAACAGCGCUUUUUA